rnacentral:rRNA from 1 species
GCUUGCUUUCUUUGCUGGCGACCGGCGCACGGGUGAGUAACACGUAUCCAACCUACCCUUUACUCGGGGAUAGCCUUUCGAAAGAAAGAUUAAUACCCGAUAGCAUAAUGAUUCCGCAUGGUUUCAUUAUUAAAGGAUUCCGGUAAAGGAUGGGGAUGCGUCCCAUUAGGUUGUUGGUGGGGUAACGGCCCACCAAGCCUUCGAUGGAUAGGGGUUCUGAGAGGAAGGUCCCCCACAUUGGAACUGAGACACGGUCCAAACUCCUACGGGAGGCAGCAUG